rnacentral:lncRNA from 1 species
CUGAUCAUACAUAACUAUCAAAAUAAAAUAUUUUUUAUUCAAAUAAAAGACUUAUUAUAGGGCAGGAGGGAAAUCAUCAGUCGCCUUCUCCUGAGCUUCUGUUACAGGUUUAUCAUUGAUUAUGGCAUUAGAAGCUGGGUCAUGAGGGUUGUCUUCAAUUAGCCUUUCUUCAUCCUGCCCAUUCUCAUCCUUAUUCUUCUCCUUAGGGAAGAUGUCGUCGAUCCAGGAGAAGUCCACUGCAGGAAAAUGCUUGAGGAGCUCCUUCUUGACUGUAAUACCCGGCUAGACCCCGGUAUCGGAAUUCCUACGUUCCGGCGGAUUUUCCGUUGGAAGUCGGGAUUCGAGGAUGUCGGAGCUUGCCCUAAGGGUAUAAGAAAGGUUUUUAAGAUGUUUUUAAGUGUUUUUAUCAUGUUUGCAUGUUUUGAGUUAAG